GACAAGCACCCUCAAAAACAACGGCUGCUCUGAAAGACUGAUAAGGGAAUCGUUAUGCAAAAAGGCUAUUUAUAUCGGUGGAUCAAAUCAUUUCUUAACGACACUCGAAAAGAACCGAUUCUCGAUACCCAAUCCUACUCGGCACUAGCACAUUUU